AAUCUAAACCUAAACCCUCACCUUCUUAUUCUCUCCUCCUCCCUGCCUUCCCCUUCACACAUCUCUUCCUCUUCUCCUCUCCAGCGAGCUGCCACGCAGCUCCGAUCAGCGGCGACCAGUGAGAGAGGGCAGCGAAAUUCCAGCGAGAUGCUCCAGGCGGCGCUGACCCUUCCCCCUUUUCUCCUUUCUCUCAGAUCUCUCCUCCCUCCUCUUCUCCUUGUUCUUUUUUCUCUCUCUUUUCAGUGCCACCAGGAAUCAGGCUCCGGCGAAGAACAGCGACCGGCAGCAGCAAGCCAACGCCAGCAACAACAACCAGACGCUGCCUCAUCUCGAUCUCAGGUGAGCAUCUGCGAAAGCCAGCUCGGACUAGCACCAAUUCGACGAUUAUCCUCUUUUCCGACGAGGACGGACAACAUACUCCUGCGAGCAUUUUGAGGUUUUGAAACAGAUCUUUAACAGAUCCGUCCAGGAGUCUUCCGUUGUUCGUAGACGAGAAAGACGAGCGAGGGAGAAACAGAUAGUCUCCAUGGCUUCACCAAGUAUAUUCUCAAAUGGCAAAGUGAAAAGCUGUUGAUUGCAGAAUGUGGACUAGGACUCAUAGGAGAAAAGAUGGAAGUUAUGUAACUGAGGAAGCUAAGGAGAUGGGGUUUUCUUGGAUUUCGCAGCAAGAUAGGAGUUACAGUUCCUCUGGUCACUAGCUAGAGGGGAAGUGUUGUAGGAAGCUUGAAGAUUGAUGAAACAUGUCGAAGGAACAGUAGACUGAUGAACAUGUUGAAGGAGAAGAUUCAUCGAAGCAAGCUAACAAGUUAGAGUUGGAGUCAUACUAAGACUAGACUACUAAAUUCUAUGUUAUAUACGACUAAGCUACUGUAUAUUAUAGGAGUCGACUAGGAUAAGGUAUUUGAGUUAUAAUACAAUACUACUCAUGUAAAUAAUUGUGUUGUAGUAGGAUUCAUAGUAUAUCUAAAAUAUGACUCUUCUUUUACAUGAGGAGCUUGUGACUCAAUAUUAUUUUCAUCAAUAUAUCCUCAAUUUCUCCAUAA